rnacentral:rRNA from 1 species
GACGAACGCUGGCGGCGUGCCUAAUACAUGCAAGUUGAGCGAUGAAGAUUGGUGCUUGCCCCAAUUUGAAGAGCAGCGAACGGGUGAGUAACGCGUGGGGAAUCUGCCUUUGAGCGGGGGACAACAUUUGGAAACGAAUGCUAAUACCGCAUAACAACUUUAAACAUAAGUUUUAAGUUUGAAAGAUGCAAUUGCAUCACUCAAAGAUGAUCCCGCGUUGUAUUAGCUAGUUGGCGAGGUAAAGGCUCACCAAGGCGAUGAUACAUAGCCGACCUGAGAGGGUGAUCGGCCACAUUGGGACUGAGACACGGCCCAAACUCCUACGGGAGGCAGCAGUAGGGAAUCUUCGGCAAUGGACGAAAGUCUGACCGAGCAACGCCGCGUGAGUGAAGAAGGUUUUCGGAUCGUAAAACUCUGUUGGUAGAGAAGAACGUUGGUGAGAGUGGAAAGCUCAUCAAGUGACGGUAACUACCCAGAAAGGGACGGCUAACUACGUG